CAGGGAGACAACACAAUGAUUUUGAUGCCUGAGUGCUUUUAUUCUUAGGCCGAAAUCCUGUCACCUUAGGUCGAUCGGUACCUCAGCUUUGAAGUCAAGGAUCAGCAGCAAUGUUGAUUGCUUGAUGGAGAUUUUCAGUUCCUAAACUUUGUCUAGGUCACACCCCAAAAGGGAUGAGACUCCUGGGCCAUUAGCUCAGGUGGUUAGAGCGCACCCCUGAUAAGGGUGAGGUCCCUGGUUCAAGUCCAGGAUGGCCCAUUCGGUGUUGGGGGUUUAGCUCAGUUGGUAGAGCGCCUGCUUUGCAAGCAGGAUGUCAGGAGUUCGAGUCUCCUAACCUCCACUGACCGAACUUGAUUCCCAUCUCCAAUUUUUUGGAGUUGAGCUCGAUUGGAGUGUGAUUUAGAUGUGUCCGCUGGAUGAUCCCAGCUUCCUGUCAUUCCAAAUUUUACGUUGAUGCCUUGAAUUUGGUUGAUAAGAUGCUGGGCUUGGAUUAAAUGAUCAAGCAAUUGAUGAUUUGAUUCGAAGUUCUAGCAGAACCUUGACACUGCAUAGGUGAGUCUGGAAAAACAAAGCAUCUUACAGAUGCAUUGUUUGAAUCUGAUCUCUGAAGGAGAUUAGAUCUAGACAUGAAAUUCUUUUGAGCAGAGCCGAGACUCUGAGCGUCUUUGAUGUGUCGAGCAUCAGAGUAGAUCUGUUUAGCAAUAAACCUGAGAAUCUGCUUCACGGCGUUAGCGUCAGGAGGUAAUG
rnacentral:tRNA from 1 species